CAAAUUUCGAUCAAUUGCACUGGUAAUUAUGUGUGUAAAAAGUAUGUAAAAAUAUAUAUUAUUUAAGAGUUAUACAUUUUAAAAAUAGCAUAAUUCUCACCAUAUUUUGUUUACUUUUCUAUUUGUAGUAUCUUCUAGUAUCAAUCUUCAGUUAUUUACAAUGUAAGAUAAUGAAGGACAAAGCAUAUGCUUACCUUAAGAACACAGCACAGUAUUCUUACUGGUGGCACACACCUGUAAUUCCAGCAGCUCCAGAGAUUGAGGCAGGAGGAUCCUGAGUUUAAAGUCAGCCUCAGCAACUUAGAAAAGUCCUAAGCAACUUGGCAAGACCUUGUCUCAAAAACUAAAAAGGACUGUGGAUGUGGCCCAUAUUUAGUGCCCCUGGGUUCAAUUUCUUGUACCAAAACAAACAAACAAACAAAAAGCAAAAGAAUCAUAGCACAAGUUUUCCAAAGUUGCAUAGAAAAAUCUCUUUUCUUAGUGUACAAAUGAGAUUAAGGAAUGGCAUGUAUUUAAAAAUUGCUGUUCUAGACUCAAGCCCACUGAGUUAUUGUCCCUUAAGGUUCUAACACUUUAUUAUUUAUGAACUAUGACCAUGUAUAUUUCUCUGUGCUUGCAGGCACAGGGAAUUUUUUCCUUGGUUCAUCUUGAUAUAAGUUAGAGAAACUGAUAUUCCUAAACAACGUUUAUCAAACUCUAUGGGAGCAAAAAAUAAAAAUAAUCUGAUGGAAGCAAAAUUUUAAAAUUGCUUGACUGAAAGAUUUCCAUGCUUUAAAUUGCUAAUAGAAGCUGGGCACAGUGCUGCUCACCUGUAAUCCCAGCAGUGUGGGAGAAACAGGAGAAUCACAAGUUCGAGGCCAGUCUCCUCAGCAAUUUAGUGAGGCUCAUUCUCAAAAACAAACAAACAAAUAAAUAAAAAUAUAUAGGUAUGUGGCUUAGUAUUAAAUUGCCCUUGGCUUGAAUCCCAGUACCCCCCCCACCAAAAAUAAAUAAAUAAAACAUACAAAAAACAACCUAACAGAAGCAAUGUACAGGUUCUAUUUAGACCUAACUUAAUCUUCCUUAUCAUAAUUUAAAGACACAGUAAUUCCAAAGGAACUAAUACUUCUUUAAAUUUAUUCUUCUUGGCUUUGUUCCAGGUAAUACCUCUCUUGGGGGUCAGCUGAACUUUUGUAAUAGGGACUAAGAAGCUGUUAUAGCUUAAAAGCACAAACUUCACCAAAGCCUGCAGAUGUCCAGGGAGGUAACUAAAAGCAGAAUAAAAUCUCAGCAUCUUUGCCUUCGUUUUGUAUCUGUCUCCUUUCUGCCUCAAACUUUGGGUCAGAUUCUGGCUCAGCUGUAUAUGCAGACAUGGUAAACAGGAGUGUCCAUCUGACACUGGUAAUCCUCCCCCUUCAAGGCUAAAGAAAUCAAGAUAGGAGGAACUAAGAUAUUUUCAAGAUUCUAGAAACACUGGGCCUUGCAGGAAGACCACCCAAUGGUGAUGAGAAUGCCCCCCAUCCUCAGCAGGAGCAAUUAUCUAAUGAUGGGAACUGAGGCUGCCUUCCAGAACCACAAGCAAUCAUCUCAGAAUGAGACCUGAGGUGCCCCUUCUAGUGUUAAUGGGUUCCCCCGGGCCAGUGGACCUUCACUGAACUAGACCUGGCAGAACUAUCAACCAGACCACAGGUUGACUGAGACUGGUUCACUAUGCAGAUUUCUAUUCCCUCCACUUUAGUUUCUUCCCCUAUUUAAUCCUAAAACUCUGGUCAGUGUCCAGGAAGACAGGGCUGAGGGCAUUUACAGGCUUGCC
rnacentral:lncRNA from 1 species